UCUUGCUCCGAUAACGUGCAAGUCAACUACGAUAUCCGUUCGUCCAGGUUCCAAUAUGAGUUUGAACCCACAGAAAUCCACGGCGAUAAUCGACAGAGAGGAAUGAAAGAAUGAAGGAGGACAGUGGGGGAUUACUGGAAAAUCGAUAAUCUCAAGGAAAUUUUCUAACAGAAAUGAAGGAAUGAAGGAAGAGAGACUGGGCGUGAAAGCGCAGAAGAGAAAGUUUGUGGGAGAAGACGACAGGUUAAUUUGGUCAAUUUUCAGCCAAAAGCACUUCAAGCUGAAGAAAAGAAGAAAUUUUUAGCUUCUCAUCUGGAGAGAAGUGCUUUUCUGAUGGUGAAAUAAUCUGGAGAGAAGGAGGUUGUUCUUCAUUCAUUUUAAGGGAAAAGGACUUUUUCAAUGAAAAGUCCUUCUAAAACGGGCAGAAGAACGGGGCCUAAAGCAUAUAAGGUUUUUGGAAUUCCUUUUGUGCUUUCUCUUUUGUCAAAAAAGACUUCUGUUCUGUUCGGUAUUUGUAGGGAAAAAAAAGAUAAUGUGUUUGUAUUUUUGUUUCCAUUCUAAAUUUUUUAAGGAAAGGGAGAUGAAGAAAAAGAAGAAAAGGGGGGAAGAAAAACUCUGCAACUAUAGGUAAUUUAUCCCGACUUUACCCUACUUUUUAAACCAUGGUAUGAGAUAGGCUGGUCUCCGAAUAUUUCCUUAACUGAAGAGAGGAAAACCCUAAUUUUGUCUCUCCCAAGAGAAGAAAGGAAGGGAAAA
rnacentral:lncRNA from 1 species